rnacentral:rRNA from 1 species
CAGUCGCCACGGGAAUACGAAGGGGGCUGGCGUUGUUCGGAUUUACUGGGCGUAAAGGGUGCGUAGGCGGAUUGUUAAGUCAGGGGUGAAAUCCCGAGGCUCAACCUCGGAACUGCCUUUGAUACUGGCGAUCUUGAGUCCGGGAGAGGUGAGUGGAACUGCGGGUGUAGAGGUGAAAUUCGUAGAUAUUCGCAAGAACACCGGUGGCGAAGGCGGCCCACUGGCCCGGUACUGACGCUGAGGCACGAAAGCGUGGGGAGUAAACAGGAUUAGAUACCCGCGUAGUCCCUGUCUCUUAUAC